UACAGAGGGUGCUAGCGUUGUUCGGAAUCAUUGGGCGUAAAGGGCGUGUAGGCGGUUUGUUAAGUCAUGUGUGAAAUCCCUCGGCUCAACCGGGGAACGACGCAUGAAACUGGCAAGCUAGAGUACCAAAGAGGGGGGUGGAAUUCCCGGUGUAGCGGUGAAAUGCGUAGAUAUCUGGAGGAACACCGGUGGCGAAGGCGGCAUCCUGGACCGGUAUUGACGCUGAGGCGCGAAAGCCAGGGGAGCAAACGGG
rnacentral:rRNA from 1 species